ensembl:lincRNA 4631405K08Rik RIKEN cDNA 4631405K08 gene
UCUGUGGCCAAGCUCUAUUUAGCUGAGCCUCUGCACUCCACCCCCUCUCUUUCCAGCUUCCUUUAGCCCCCUCUCUGCCACUUUCUCCUACUUUCCUAUUGUCUUUUACUAAAGAGAGGACCACGUGUCUCUUUCUCCAGGAGCAACUUCUCUGCCCAGGCCGCUGAGCUGAGCACCCUAUAGAGCAUGUGCCACCUCUUCUAGUCCUCAAUUCUUGAGGGUAAAAGACUUUCCCAAGACUUAAAAAUUCUUUAUUGUUGUUGUUUUGCUUUGUUUUGUUUUGUUUUUUUGUUCGUUUUGGUUUGGUUUCUUUUCCCCAGGAUUCUCUAACCAUCCUCCAGCUUGGUACUCUCUUUAGAACCCCCCCCCCCCAAAAAAAAAAGUAUUAUUUUGCAUCAAAGGCAAAGCUGAGCCUGAUAUCCGAAGGUAUAGGUACUCCCAUGUACUUGCAGAACUGAGCUGAAAUUCCACAAGAAGCCAAGACUCCUUCCAACCCAGAACUACCUCCCACAGUCUCCUGCCUUCCUUGGUCAGAGCCAACAGACCUGUGUCUCUCUCCCCUUUGAUAGGAAGUGGGUCAGAGGUGGUGUGGGGGCUUCUGUGGUCUUGAUAACUCAGUAAGUAUUCGCUAAGAGACUGAACAGAAGAUUCACAGAACCUCUUGCUCUCUGCACUCAGCACCCUGCCUUCUAGUGUGCCUGUGCACACCCUGAGAAAGGUGCCUUAGUUUGGACCCAGGAAAGUGGGAUUCUUCCCUAACCAUAGCUAGAAAUCCCUGCUUUUGUUUAAGAGUCUUUCUCAGAGGCCUGAUGGCCUGGGGGCUAGAUGGGAGAGGUGGAGCCUCUUUGUCAGGUCAGAACAAGCCCAGGAAGAAGAAAGUAUUCCAAACAAGGUAGGCCAGCCCUACCCACCCUGUCUGCUUGUCUCUGCUUAGAGCAGCCUUUUAUGAGGCUUACACUGAGCAGCAGACAUGUCUGAACAAAGCAAAGAGGCCAAUGCAACCCUGCAAAGCUCCUGCUUGGUGAGCAUUUUCUUUUGGGCAGGGACAGAAAGUCCACAGGUAUUACAUGGCCUCUCAGUGUAGCUCAGUCUCUGAAAGCCAGUUAUAUGCUGGCCUCCCUCCCUUGACUACCACCCUAGGCUCCUUAGAGAAGCCAUUUACUAAUUCUGUGCAGAUCUGGGGAAAGAUAUAUAGUCAUUAAAGACUGACUUUCCCAGACUAUGCUUCCCCAGCUAUGGGGAGAGGAUCAAGAAUUCUUCCCUUCACCACCCACUGGCCCCAUAAACAGGCCUGUUCCUGUUUAUGCAGACGAGCAGAGUCACUGUCCUCCGCUUAUCCUGAUUACACACCAGCAUCCAGGCCUGAACUGGGCUGUUCAUGCUGCUUUUUCAGAAGAAUACCUGCUCCCCUGUAUUCCACCUUUUGGUACAAAAUGAAAGAAAGUGUGCUUUCUCUAGAUAUCACCAACAUACCUAGCUCUGGUAUGGAACACUCAUUGAAGAGGAGAGCCAGCAUCCUAACUAGGUAUACAGAAUGGAGACUCCACUUGGAUUUAUCUGGGAUGGCCCUUCAUGGGCAAGAAACUACCUAGAGUCCAGCCCCACACACAACAUUGGCUAUACCACCCAGAGUACUCUGAGGUGGGAACAUGAAUGCUUGAGGGUUUGAGUAUUCAGGUCCUCACCAGGUCCUGAAUGAAUGAAUACAGGUAUUCAGGUCCUGUAAGAGUGGGGUUGCAGGAUCCUGAAGGUCUCCUUCAGGUCACACAGCACUACACGAGGAGGCUUAGUAGACAAACAGCCCCAGACAAUCCAUGGGUCCUCUUGUCCUUCAUUCCACCGGAGUCUGUCUUAUGCCAACCAGAUUUCAGUGGAGUGAAGCUCAGGAGGCAUGGAGCUGCCAGCGGUGGACUGAAGCACAGCAUUUGAACAGAGGCAUUCUGCAAAAAUACAGUCACUAAAAGCACCUGCAGCGUGUGCUUUUGCAGAGGGGUGGCAGUGGCAGGCAAGAGCACACUGCCAGUGAUUGCUGUGUGGCCUUUCUUCCUAAAACCAAUGCUUCGGAAAUGUGUAUUUUUCUGUAACUUGCAAAAUUAAAAGUUGCCUAUCUGCUG